rnacentral:sRNA from 1 species
AAGUUUCGGCUCACUCAAGGGAAGUCUUGCUCAUCCCCUAUGAAAGGGGAUGAUGCUGAUGACAACAUUCGAAACAACCCCUUUAAUGAUUGCUUUCGGCAUGUUAAUUGCCGUGUUGUCAAAGAAAGAAAAAUAGACCUCCCUUGAGCCUGGAAAACUUAAAGGGAUAGGUCUAUUUUAAAAACGCCUUUUCUGAGCAAGCCCCUUAGUGGGCUGCUUUUUGUACAU